rnacentral:rRNA from 1 species
UAGGGAAUCUUCCGCAAUGGGCGAAAGCCUGACGGAGCAACGCCGCGUGAGUGAUGAAGGUCUUCGGAUCGUAAAACUCUGUUAUUAGGGAAGAACAAAUGUGUAAGUAACUAUGCACGUCUUGACGGUACCUAAUCAGAAAGCCACGGCUAACUACGUGCCAGCAGCCGCGGUAAUACGUAGGUGGCAAGCGUUAUCCGGAAUUAUUGGGCGUAAAGCGCACGUAGGCGGACUUUUAAGUCAGGGGUGAAAUCCCGGGGCUCAACCCCGGAACUGCCUUUGAUACUGGAAGUCUUGAGUAUGGUAGAGGUGAGUGGAAUUCCGAGUGUAGAGGUGAAAUUCGUAGAUAUUCGGAGGAACACCAGUGGCGAAGGCGGCUCACUGGACCAUUACUGACGCUGAGGUGCGAAAGCGUGGGGAGCAAACAGG